rnacentral:rRNA from 1 species
CCUACGGGAGGCAGCAGUUAGGAAUCUUGGACAAUGGGCGCAAGCCUGAUCCAGCCAUGCCGCGUGAGUGAUGAAGGCCUUAGGGUUGUAAAGCUCUUUCAGCGGGGAAGCGGUACCCGCAGAAGAAGCCCCGGCUAACUUCGUGCCAGCAGCCGCGGUAAUACGAAGGGGGCUAGCGUUGCUCGGAAUCACUGGGCGUAAAGCGCACGUAGGCGGCUUUCUAAGUCAGGGGUGAAAUCCUGGAGCUCAACUCCAGAACUGCCUUUGAUACUGGAGAGCUUGAGUCCGGAAGAGGUGAGUGGAACUCCGAGUGUAGAGGUGAAAUUCGUAGAUAUUCGGAAGAACACCAGUGGCGAAGGCGGCUCACUGGUCCGGACUGACGCUGAGGUGCGAAAGCGUGGGGAGCAAACAGGAUUAGAUACCCUUGUAGUC